CAAUGUUUGACUUCAUAAUCAGUUCUCUGAGACUUGAUUAUGACGUCGGGCAUUAGUCGAUGUGAUAUGUGUCGGUACAACAACCCGAGUCAGGGAUCUUUUUCACUGACUGUACACUGAGAAGAUUAUACAAGAUUUAGACAUGUCGCGGCGCAGUAUGAGGCUGGUUUUAGGGGGAUACUACCACCAGUCAUCAGACGAUGAUGAGUCCUCAGUUUCCUACAGGGAGAGCCCCGUGAGGGUUUUUACUAAGAGGAAGACAGGUGGUCGUAAAGUGGCGGCCUCUCGUACCUCCAGCCGGGCCAACAGCGUGGCUAGCACCGCUAGCAGCAAGGGUAGUACAGUGGAGCCACCCAUCAAUGCUGAGGACUACAUUGGGGUCUCAAGCUUGGUUCAGAGGAGGAAGACCUUCCAGGAACCUCCGGCCCCAGCUCCCAGCCUGAACCUGGCUCCCAGCCCCAGGGGCUUCUCGUCCUGCCAGACCGGACUGAACCAGGCCCAGAGCCAUAGCAGCGCCAUAGACAGCUCUGGUUACUCCUCUUCAGAGGCAAGACGUUACAGAGGAUACUCUGGAGACUCCUCCUUAGGCGAACAAAGGGUUAGCGCCAGCCAGAGAUCUGGCACUAACAGGACAAGUGCUAGUGCCAGCUGGACCCCUCCGUUUAUCCCGGCCAAUGUGGGGAAGGCCAUUCUAAUUGCCAUCCUCCUCAUACUCUUGACCUUCGGCUGCUGGCUCCUUGCCCCUUUGGUAUGGGCCACCCUGACUUCAGCCCUGAAUGCUAUCACUAUGACCCUGAACCGACCUGUCAUCACCCCGACUCCGCCACCUGACUUCACUACGCCACCUGUCUUCACUCCGCCUGUCAAGGCUAUGGAUGGAGCUUCGGUAUUUCAUUCUGAUCUGGAAGCCAAGAUGAAC
rnacentral:lncRNA from 1 species